rnacentral:tRNA from 1 species
UGGAGAGUAGCUCAGAUGGUAGAGCUGGCGACUGUUAAUCGCCCCGUCGCAGGUUCGAGCCCUGCCUCUCCAGCCA